CCUACGGGAGGCAGCAGUGGGGAAUUUUGGACAAUGGGCGCAAGCCUGGUCCAGCAAUGCCGCGUGCAGGAUGAAGGCCUUCGGGUUGUAAACUGCUUUUGUACGGAACGAAACGGUCUGCCCUAAUACGGUGGGCUAAUGACGGUACCGUAAGAAUAAGCACCGGCUAACUACGUGCCAGCAGCCGCGGUAAUACGUAGGGUGCGAGCGUUAAUCGGAAUUACUGGGCGUAAAGCGUGCGCAGGCGGUUAUAUAAGACAGAUGUGAAAUCCCCGGGCUCAACCUGGGACCUGCAUUUGUGACUGUAUAGCUAGAGUACGGUAGAGGGGGAUGGAAUUCCGCGUGUAGCAGUGAAAUGCGUAGAUAUGCGGAGGAACACCGAUGGCGAAGGCAAUCCCCUGGACCUGUACUGACGCUCAUGCACGAAAGCGUGGGGAGCAAACAGGAUUAGAUACCCUGGUAGUCCACGCCCUAAACGAUGUCAACUGGUUGUUGGGUCUUCACUGACUCAGUAACGAAGCUAACGCGUGAAGUUGACCGCCUGGGGAGUACGGCCGCAAGGUUGAAACUUAAGGAAUUGACGG
rnacentral:rRNA from 1 species